GAUCUAUUCAGGGAAGCCUGUGCCCAAGAGAACUGUGGAAGCCCACACUGAGUUGAUGAACCACAGCAGGUGUUCACAAAGAGCCCCUGGGUGCACAGCACUAUGCCUUGGAGAACAGUUUCUUUGGCAGAGCUUCAUCAUCAGUACCAUCACUUUUCUUGUGCCUUGUCGAUAUUUGGAUGGGUGGUCCUGGACCCAGAGAGUUAAGGCAACUUACCCAAGGUCACAAUAGCUUACAUCUCCAAAUGCUCAGCUCUGUGCUAUGGAACCCACUGCUUUCUAGUAGGUUUAAAUGAUAUGAACACCUGUGUGAAGACACAGCAAAGACGGCCACCUAAGAACCUGGAAACAGGUCCUCACCAGACACCGAAUCUGCCAG